rnacentral:rRNA from 1 species
GUGACGGUCGCGUACAACAAGGAUCCCAGCCCCGUCAAGGUCAACCUCGGCGUCGGCGCCUACCGGACCGAGGAAGGGAAGCCCAUGGUGCUGAAUGUGGUCAGGCGCGCCGAGCAGAUGCUGAUCCAAAACGAGUCACGUGUUAAGGAGUACUUGCCGAUCACUGGAUUGGCAGAUUUCAACAAGUUGAGUGCUAAGCUUAUCUUCGGUGCUGACAGUCCUGCUAUUCAGGAGAAUAGGGUGGCUACUGUGCAGUGCUUAUCAGGAACUGGUUCCCUACGAGUGGGAGGUGAAUUUCUUGCAAGGCACUAUCAUGAACGCACAAUCUACAUUCCCCAGCCAACCUGGGGGAAUCACCCAAAAGUCUUCACUUUAGCUGGCCUGACUGCUAGGAGUUACCGGUACUAUGAUCCUGCAACUUGUGGACUGGAUUUCCAAGGACUCUUGGAAGACCUCAGUUCAGCUCCCUCAGGCGCAAUUGUACUGCUUCAUGCAUGUGCCCACAACCCUACUGGUGUCGACCCAACCUUGGAACAGUGGGAACAGAUCAGGCAGCUUAUGAGAUCAAAAGCAUUGCUGCCAUUCUUUGACAGUGCUUAUCAAGGAUUUGCAAGCGGAAGCCUUGACAAAGAUGCCCAAUCAGUGCGCAUGUUCGUCGCUGAUGGUGGUGAAUUGCUCAUGGCUCAAAGCUACGCCAAGAACAUGGGAUUGUAUGGAGAGCGUGUUGGUGCUUUAAGCAUCGUUUGUGGGAGUGCUGAUAUAGCUGUUAAGGUUGAAAGUCAACUUAAGCUUGUAAUUAGGCCUAUGUAUUCGAACCCUCCUCUUCAUGGUGCUUCUAUCGUGGCUACCAUACUUAAGGACAGUGCUAUGUUCGACGAAUGGACUCUGGAGCUGAAGGCCAUGGCUGAUAGGAUAAUUAGCAUGAGGGAGCAGCUUUUUAAUGCGCUGAAAAUCAGGGAAACACCUGGAGAUUGGUCCCACAUCAUUAAGCAGAUUGGGAUGUUUACUUUCACUGGGCUCAACAGUGAUCAAGUAGCCUUCAUGAGGCAAGAAUAUCACAUUUACAUGACAUCUGAUGGGAGGAUCAGCAUGGCCGGUUUGAGCUCCAGAACUGUACCCCAUCUUGCAGAUGCCAUACAUGCCGCAGUAACAAAACUGAAGUGA